AAAGGCUGGGGAGUCUUCACAUUAGAUGCAAGGGUAAAAUCUCAGAACCCUCAGAAUUCAUAAUGGUCCUAUUGCCUUUCAGUAGAACAACUGAUAUAGCCUCCACCUCCCAUUACUCCCAGACACCUGCCCCUAGUGCCAACGUCCCCUUAGUGUCCUCUAGAGCUGAGUUAAUUCAUCCAGGCUGCCCACACAGCCUUCCAAGUCCCCGAGGAAUGGCUCCCACCUCCCUAACUGCACCUGCUCUCAGCCCGCCCCUGCUCCAUAUCAGGCAGUCAUCCCAACUGCAUACCUUCUCCACUCCCUUGCAUCUUUGCCCUUAUCAUGCUGUCCCCUCCACAAGGGUCAUCCUUACCCCUUUCCACUGAAAUCCUGUCACUGCUUGUGGCCAGGAUCCUGUCUCAUCUCCUCCGUAAGUCCUCACUUUACUCAUCUUGUAGAGUUCUCCCAUCCUUCUGUCUUGAAUUAUGGGUUCCUAGGUAAACCCCACUCUGUCUCUCCCAGAGGUUCCACACCCUCAUCUCCCAGAGCAGUGAUCUUUGCACCUCCUGUAGCCUCCCCCUUACACAGGAGCUCAGGAGAUGAGUGACGUCUUGAGGGGCUGAACCACACUCGGAAGGAUCUUGAGGAGUGGUAAGGUGGAAGGACAGUGGAGUGGGGAAUUGAGAAGAGAGUGAACAGAAGCAUGGAGGUGGAAGUGGCCAGGGCAGGGGAAUAACCAGGUUUGGUUGGUGCUGAGUUCAUACCAGACAGCCGAAAGAGAUGGGCCUGGAAAGAUGAAGGACGUGAGGCGCAGGCUCAGGAGGGCCUUGGCCAUGGGGGUCCCAUUUCUCUUUUAGGGCAGAAUCUGGUACUGCUUCUCCAGGGUCUGGGUUCCUUGGCCGGGGGCUUCAGGAGGCUGCUCCCAUGCAGACCCCUCCCUCUCCUGGCCCACUCCGCCUACGUCUGCCAUCAGAGGCCCCAGAACCUCGCAUUGACGCGGGGCCGCGCGUGAGUCAAGCCUGCGUCACGGCGCCCCGCCGUCAGGGUGGCCUUUCGCAAAGCGAGGGAACAGUGCGCGCAGCGCUGCGCUCCGCCCCGCUCCGUUCCGCUCCGCAGAGCCGGCGCGGCCCGAGUGCAGGGAGGUUGGUACUGGGCUCCGGCGCCUGCAGCCUCACGCGCUCCCUCCGCAGCGGUACCUGGGUUCACGGACCGCUCCCCCGAGGCCCGAGCACGCCGCGGGCGGGAGACCGACCGGGACCGGCGGAGAGGGAGGGAGCGAGGAGUGAUCAGAGUCGCGUGCGCCCGUGCGCGGCUCCGGGUCUCCUCCCAGCCCCGGCUGGGGCCCGUCGCCGCCACACUCGGACUGCUCGUGGGAGGGGCUGUGCGCCCGCCACCCGUCGGGGACCGAAGCUGCUCGGUCCGAGUGCAGGAGCCGAGACCGCGCUACGACCCACGCGGGACAGAGGUCCCUGGAUGAGAGGGAGCUGACGGCAGCCAAGUCCCACCUUCUCCACGUGCUGGGAAGCAGGGCUGCGCCACCCAGGGGGCCCAAUGCCGAAGAACAGCAAGGUGACCCAGCGCGAGCACAGCAAUGAGCACGUCACGGAGUCGGUGGCCGACCUGCUGGCC
rnacentral:lncRNA from 1 species